AGCCGAUCUGUCCACUGAGCAGCUUUGAUUUCCAGCUCACGUGAACGAUUUUUGCUCUGUCUUCUUAAAUGCACGAGCGGGUUUGUGGGGGAGAGUGGAGAGCUGAGACGUCACCAGCUUCUCCACGUUCGCCGCAGGACUGCCGCCUUCCCGGGGCUCCCGACGCGGAGUCGGGGCUUCUCCGAACAGCAGAGCCCCGUCUAACCUGAGAAAUCCUCUCUCUUGGAUGCAGACGCUGACAAAGAACCAGGAAACACAUCUGGGAGCGAAAAACCCUGAAAACGAGGAACGACUCUCAGCUGUAGAAGUGCCAACGAAGCAGGUGGUCGAGGAGUGACCUUGCCGGUGCCGGGCACCUGUGCUCCUGCCUGGUCCCUGCCGUGUCUCCUCCGCAUGGGGACGGCGCUGCGGAGAGCCUGCUGUCGCUCCCCUCUAGUCCUCGGGCCCUCGCUGCAGCCAGUCCUGUAUAUGCAUAUAUAUACACAUAUGCACACAUGCAUACGUAUAUCUGGACUAUUUUGGGAUCUUCUUGCAAACCAGCCCCAUGUGUUAGGUUAUUCAUACACAGAUAUUUUGGAGCUCUGUUUUGGAGAGGAGGAGAGGCGCAGAUUUCUCUAUAUGUGGCUUUCUGUAUUUUUCUGUGCGUAGCGGACACUUUUCCCAAGGAAGAAUGAGACUGACUCUCGUGCCAUGGUAAUUCUGAGUUGCCCUUCUGAGACCAGGGAUAACUUUUGCUACAGGAAAGGCCAGUUUUUUGAAAGGAAAAUUGCUGUGGGAAUACUUGAAUUUCAGUAAAAUGCUGCUUACCAAAAUGUGUCUUUUAAAAAAUAUUUUCAUUUUUAUGGUGUGAGAAUUUAGAUUCUUUUCAUUUUGUAUAAAUAUAAAAUAAAAUAUAAAUACAUUGAAAAUUCA
rnacentral:lncRNA from 1 species